CACCUCGAUGUCGGCUCAUCACAUCCUGGGGCUGAAGUAGGUCCCAAGGGUAUGGCUGUUCGCCAUUUAAAGUGGUACGCGAGCUGGGUUUAGAACGUCGUGAGACAGUUCGGUCCCUAUCUGCCGUGGGCGCUGGAGAACUGAGGGGGGCUGCUCCUAGUACGAGAGGACCGGAGUGGACGCAUCACUGGUGUUCGGGUUGUCAUGCCAAUGGCACUGCCCGGUAGCUAAAUGCGGAAGAGAUAAGUGCUGAAAGCAUCUAAGCACGAAACUUGCCCCGAGAUGAGUUCUCCCUGAGACUUAAAGUCUCCUGAAGGAACGUUGAAGACGACGACGUUGAUAGGCCGGGUGUGUAAGCGCAGCGAUGCGUUGAGCUAACCGGUACUAAUGAACCGUGAGGCUUAACCUUACAACGCCGAAG
rnacentral:rRNA from 1 species